CGGAGGGUGCAAGCGUUAUCCGGAUUCACUGGGUUUAAAGGGUGCGUAGGCGGGUUGGUAAGUCCGUGGUGAAAUCCCCAAGCUUAACUUGGGAACUGCCGUGGAUACUAUCAAUCUUGAGUAUCGUGGAGGUAAGCGGAAUAUGUCAUGUAGCGGUGAAAUGCUAGAUAUGACAUAGAACACCAAUUGCGUAGGCAGCUUACUACACGAUCAUUGACGCUGAGGCACGAAAGCGUGGGGAGCAAACAGGAUUAGAUACCCUGGUAGUCCACGCCCUAAACGAUCGGACUACUCGACAUCAGCGAUACACUGUUGGUGUCUGAGCGAAAGCAUUAAGUAUCCCACCUGGGAAGUACGAUCGCAAGAUUG
rnacentral:rRNA from 1 species